rnacentral:rRNA from 1 species
GAUGAACGCUGGCGGCGUGCCUAAUACAUGCAAGUCGAGCGAACAGACGAGGAGCUUGCUCCUCUGACGUUAGCGGCGGACGGGUGAGUAACACGUGGAUAACCUACCUAUAAGACUGGGAUAACUUCGGGAAACCGGAGCUAAUACCGGAUAAUAUAUUGAACCGCAUGGUUCAAUAGUGAAAGACGGUUUUGCUGUCACUUAUAGAUGGAUCCGCGCCGCAUUAGCUAGUUGGUAAGGUAACGGCUUACCAAGGCAACGAUGCGUAGCCGACCGGAGAGGGUGAUAGGACACACUGGAACUGAGACACGGUCCAGACGCCUACGGGAGGCAGCAGUAGGGAAUCUUCCGCAAUGGGCGAAAGCCUGACGGAGCACCGCCGCGUGAGUGAUGAAGGUCUUCGGAUCGUAAAACUCUGUUAUUAGGGAAGAACAAAUGUGUAAGUAACUAUGCACGUCUUGACGGUACCUAAUCAGAAAGCCACGGCUAACUACGUG